GGGCCCGCACAAGCGGAGGAGCAUGUGGUUUAAUUCGAUGAUACGCGAGGAACCUUACCAGGGCUUAAAUGGGAGACGACAGUUUGGGAAACCAGAUUUUCUUCGGACGUCUUUCAAGGUGCUGCAUGGUUGUCGUCAGCUCGUGCCGUGAGGUGUCAGGUUAAGUCCUAUAACGAGCGCAACCCCUAUUGUUAGUUGCCAGCGGGUCAUGCCGGGAACUCUAACAAGACUGCCGGUGCAAACCGUGAGGAAGGUGGGGAUGACGUCAAAUCAUCACGGCCCUUACGUCCUGGGCUACACACGUGCUACAAUGGACGGUACAGAGAGCAGCCACUGCGCAAGCAGGAGCGAAUCUUCAAAGCCGUUCUCAGUUCGGAUCGGAGUCUGCAACUCGACUCCGUGAAGCUGGAUUCGCUAGUAAUCGCAUAUCAGCCAUGAUGCGGUGAAUACGUUCCCGGGCCUU
rnacentral:rRNA from 1 species